UACGAAGGGGGCUAGCGUUGUUCGGAGUUACUGGGCGUAAAGGGCGCGUAGGCGGCCCUCCAAGUCGGGUGUGAAAGCCCACGGCUCAACCGUGGAAUUGCACUCGAGACUGAAGGGCUCGAGGACGGGAGAGGAUGGUGGAAUUCCCGGUGUAGCGGUGAAAUGUGUAGAGAUCGGGAGGAACACCGGUGGCGAAGGCGGUCUUCUGGACGGUGACUGACGCUGAGGCGCGAAAGCGUGGGGAGCAAACGGG
rnacentral:rRNA from 1 species